rnacentral:rRNA from 1 species
AUGGCGUGCUUUCAGACGCGUCCAAGUGCUGCUGUUGUGGUCGUCGUCACCAUGCUUCUGCUCCAGGCUUGCUAUGAAGGCAGUCAAGCAUCAGCAUCUUCCUCGCUGCAGCUGCAGCUGCCUCGGCAUCAGAUGCGCAAGAUGCUCAGCGUCAGUGCACCUUCCAUGUCAUCGAGCGGCGGCGGAGGGCGCUCGGCGGAGCCGUUGGAGCUGGAGGAGUGCUCAAAGGAUCUCCUGGAGGUGUACCAGAUCAACGCGCCGAGCAUGGCGGGCGGCAUACCGGCCUACAGCGUGGAGUUCACCAACACAUGCAUGGAAUGUCUCGUGUGCGACGUCCAUGUCGCAUGCGGCGACUUCGCCUCAAAUGAUGUCAUCGACCCGGCCAAGUUCCGCCGCCUCGGCAUCAACGACUGCCUCGUCAACGACGGCAAGUCCAUUGAGCCCAGCUUCCCCGUGUCGUUCCAGUACGGCAACUCCUUUCCGUACCCGAUGACAGUCGCGUCCGCCUCCUGUGACUGUAAGUAG